rnacentral:rRNA from 1 species
AACAGGAUUAGAUACCCUGGUAGUCCACGCCGUAAACGAUGGAUACUAGCUGUUGGGGGCAACUUCAGUGGCUAAGCGAAAGUGAUAAGUAUCCCACCUGGGGAGUACGUUCGCAAGAAUGAAACUCAAAGGAAUUGACGGGGGCCCGCACAAGCGGUGGAGCAUGUGGUUUAAUUCGAUGAUACGCGAGGAACCUUACCAAGGCUUAAAUGUAGAUUGACCGUUUUGGAAACAGAACUUUCGCAAGACAAUUUACAAGGUGCUGCAUGGUUGUCGUCAGCUCGUGCCGUGAGGUGUCAGGUUAAGUCCUAUAACGAGCGCAACCCCUGUUGUUAGUUGCCAGCGAGUCAUGUCGGGAACUCUAACAAGACUGCCAGUGCAAACUGUGAGGAAGGUGGGGAUGACGU